GUCAACUUUCUAUAGCACGUAUCCUAAAGUUGAAUGAUACAAAGAUGAGGCUGGCCCCUGCUUAAGGAUGGUACACAAAUUCAUGAACUAUUCUAUAGUUUU
rnacentral:snRNA from 1 species